UCAGAUUCUGGCAAUUGUUGUCUAAGAAUAUAUUGAUAGAGUACCUACUUUUAAAAAGUGAAUGCACUGGGGCAUGACCAAAGCCACAACACCCCACACAUGUGACUGUGAUCUUUGCUCCUUUGCAAAGUCCUCAUAGAGUUGAAGAGUUCUGCACUUUGUUCCUUCCCUGGCACACCUCUCUCUGCAUUCCUUCCAUCUCCUGACAUUCUCCACUCCUGUCUCUGUGUUUUAAAACCGUUGUAGGAAGUGUGCAUGCUCGUGGCAUCAGACUCCGGGCCAUGUUUUUCGUGACUCCCAUCUUGGUAGCCAGUCUCUGCAUUUUGGUUGUGUGGAUCUUUAAAAAUGCUGAUAGACACAUGGAGAAAAAGAAGGGGGAGCCUAGAGCCAUAGCUGAGGCUCGCCCCUGGGUGGAUGAAGACUUAAAAGACAGCAGUGACCUGCACCAAGCAGAAGAAGAUGCUGAUGAAUGGCAAGAAUCAGAAGAAAGUGUUGAACACAUCCCCUUCCCUCAUACACACUAUCCUGAGAAGGAAAUGGUUAAGAGGUCUCAGGAAUUUUAUGAACUUCUCAACAAGAGACGGUCAGUCAGGUUCAUAAGUAAUGAGCAAGUUCCAAUGGAAGUCAUUGAUAAUGUCAUCAGAACGGCAGGAACAGCCCCAAGUGGGGCCCACACAGAGCCCUGGACCUUCGUGGUUGUGAAGGACCCAGAUGUGAAGCACAAGAUUCGAAAGAUCAUUGAGGAGGAAGAGGAGAUCAACUAUAUGAAAAGGAUGGGACAUCGCUGGGUCACAGAUCUCAAGAAACUGAGAACCAACUGGAUUAAAGAGUACUUGGAUACUGCCCCUAUUUUGAUUCUCAUUUUCAAACAAGUACAUGGUUUUGCUGCAAAUGGCAAGAAAAAAGUCCACUACUACAAUGAGAUCAGCGUUUCCAUUGCUUGUGGCAUCCUGCUAGCUGCCUUGCAGGUUAUUGGAAAAAUUAUCCUGAAGGAGCUGGCAUUGAUUUCCUUCCUGAAUCUGUAAGCAGGUAAAUAAUGGAAUCACCAUGCGGCGUCAGACUGCAGGGCACCGCUACCUGAUUGAGGGUCCUGGAAGAAGCAGCGAAGCCAGCAGUAAGCUCAGCUCACAAGGCUGCCCGGAACGCAGGUCUGGUGACUGUCACUACCACUCCUCUCAACUGUGGCCCUCGACUGAGGGUGCUCCUGGGCCGCCCCGCACAUGAAAAGCUGCUGAUGCUGCUCCCCGUGGGGUACCCCAGCAAGGUGGCCACAGUGCCUGACCUCAAGCGCAAACCUCUGGACCAGAUCAUGGUGACGGUGUAGGCAGGGCCGCCCAAGGGAGUGGCAGGGAGGCGGCGCCCCUGCUUCUCCCUGCGCAUCUCACCUGCUCCUCUCGGGUCUCUUGGCUGCUCUUUCUCCGGGUGUCAGGUCCCCUCCUUGCUCUUCUCUGGUGGCCACACUGCAUCAAGAAGCCUCUCCACGCUCUGUGGACUUCCAGUCCCAUAAGUCCCGUUUCUUAUCCACUUUGGAAAUGCAUGAACACUUCACAAAGAACAUGCCUGGUUUUUAAACUUUAAAAGUGACUCUAGAAAAUCACCGUUGGCUUUUUUCUUGUAUUUUUAAAAAACUCACGUAGAGGAGACAAUCAGAAAUUUACCAUAGUCCCAAUAAUUCAGCUACACGAUGACUCGAAUUUAAAUUUAGAUUAAUCAAAUGGUCUCCUGCUCUCUGACUUCCGGUGCCUUUUAGACAAAGGAUAUGCUUUUGAGAACUACUUUUUCUUAACUGAACUUCAGGGACACUCUGCUAGUUUUGAAUAAGUAACCAUCAAAGUUACUGAAACAUGGCCAGGUGCAGUGACUCAUGCCUGUAAUCCUAGCACUUUGGGAGGCUGAGGUGGGCAGAUUGCCUGAGCUCAAGAGUUCGAGACCAGCCCGGCCAACAUGGUGAAACUCCAUCUCUACCAAAAAUACAAAAAAAUUAGCUGGGCAGGCACUUGUAAUCCCAGCUACUCAGGAGGCUGAGCAAGAGAAUUGCUUGAACCUGGGAGGUAGAGAUUGUAGUGAGUCAAGAUGCUGAGAUGCCAUCACUGCAUUCCAGCCUGGGCAACAGAGUGAGGCCCUGUCUCAAAAAAAAACAGAAACAAAGUUACUAAAAUGUCACCUUCACAGAACAGGACAGGGUACGCUUGGGUCGCACGGGCCUGGCUGGCAUGUAAACGGUCAGUUGCACUGCCUAGUGGCGUGGUAGAUCUGACUCGUAGCAUUCAUAGAAGCUGCUAAAUACUCAAGAAUCUUGCAAGACAGUUACUAAACAUUCAUAGCUUGAAAUUGCCCAUGGUGGGAGAAUUUACAUCACAACCACUACAAAUCAGGGCUUGCUUUCUUUUCCUUCAAGAGAGCUACUUACCAUACACAGCACCCACAGUCUCCCUUCUCUUUUACCCCACCCCAUGAAACAUACUGACCCCUUUUCUCCAGAUGAUAACACAGCUGUUUGGGCCUGAUAGGGUCACAGGUGCCAGGUUGGGAAUGCCAGAUGUAGUCUUCAUCCAUCACCUUCUAUCAUCAUCCCGGGGUGUCGUAUACAGAGGCAAACUCUUACAGCUUGGAUGAUUUCUCAUCAAGUAACUACUCACCUCUUUAUCCCCUUCCACUAUGCUUUUCUUCUUGUUGUCCUCAUUUUCCUUGAGAAAACUCUCUCUAUAAAGAAUUUCCAUAGAGUAUGUGGCUUAUAAACAACAGAAAUUCAUUUCUCACAGUUCUGGAGACUGGAAGUCCAAGGUCAGAGUGCCUGCAUGGUCAGGCACUGGUGAGGACCCUGAUCUGGGUUGCAGACUGCUGACUUCUCAUUGUGUCCUCAUAUGGUAGAAAGAGGGUUGGAGCCUCUGGCAUGCCUUUUAUAAGGGCACUAAUCCCAUCAUGAGGCCCCACCCUCAUGACUUCAUCACCUCCCAAAGGCCCCCCUCCUAAUACCGUCACAUUGGGGGUUAGGGUUUCAACAUAUGAAUUGUGGGGGACACAAACUUUCCAUCCAUGGCACCUACUCUAUAGGGUUUGGCAUGCUGCUUGGUACAUGGUUAACGUUCAUAAAUGGUGGGUGCCCUUACUGUGGUAGACACCAUUGUCAUUGCAAGGCAGCCCUGCUUGGGAUUCAGGUGAGCAAAGGUAACAUGGGUGAGUGAGGGACUCCCUCCUCUUCAGAGAAGCCCUCCUGUGGCUCAGGGGCAGCUGCAAGGCCAGAUGGAGUUGGCCUGCAGGGAGUCAGCCUUACCCCAUCAGAGACCAACGUGAAGGAUUUUUUUCUCUGUAUAGUUGAGUUAUCAAUCUGAUAUGCAGCCAGGUUACUUACUUCCAAAGCAUUGUAGCUGUUGAUUGCCACUGCCCCGUGGUUCUCACUCUUUGCAGGAACUCUUUAAAUUUUUAUUUUAAAAAUUACAAUGGAAACGUCUGGUCAUCACCUUAACCAAGUGACAAAGUCCUAGCACACCAUUAAUGGUAGGAUAACUGACAUUAGGUGUUCCUGUUGGGAUGCAUUAUGAAGCAUUCCUUCCAAAGAUGUCAGUGGAAACUAAUCAAGUCUUACACCUAACUUUCAGUUUACAGUAAAUACAGAGGAUAAAGAAGUUAAUGGCAUAGUGGAAUAACCAAAAUGUGCAUCAGUUUACAAGAAAUAGGCCUGGACUCUUUAAGGAGUGAGUGUCACUGUGGGAAGAAUAAGAGGGGCACUGUCCUGUCCUUGCUACUCAAAGGGUGGGCCUGGGCCCAUAGCAUCAUUGGGACCACCUGGGCGCUUGUUAGAAUCAAAGAUUCUCAGGCCUCACUUAGACAUCCAAAAUCAAAAUCUGCAUUUUAAUAAGAUCCCCAGGUGAUCUGCAUGUCUGUUAAAGUCUGAGCUCUGUUUCAGAUAACCAGAGACCCAACAACCAAAGGCAAAACAUAAGCCUUGAUUGGAUUUUGUUUUAGGAAAAAAUCUCAUAGGUAUAAAAGACAACUGGGAAUGUUGAAUGUGGAUCUAGUGGUAGGUGAUGUUGUUAGUGAUGUGAGUGAUGCAUGCUGAAGUACUGAGAGAUGAAGCAUAAUAUUGACAACUUACUCCAGGAAAAAAGAAGGUGUGUGUAUAUGUGUGUGUUCGGAGAGUGUGAGCGAGAACUAACAUGGUAAAAUGUUAGAUAGAGCAGAUAGCGUUCUCAUUAUACUCUUAUUUUAAAUUUAUGUUUGAACACAGUCAAAUCUGAAUGGAAAUACAUGUAAAUAAGCAUUUCUUUCAGUCAUAUAAA